rnacentral:lncRNA from 1 species
AAAAAGAGAACUCAAAAUCCCAAGGAACACAUCCAGAACAUACUGCAGGAUGGUGGCAGUUUCAUGUUUUAUGGAUGUAUAAAAUAAAAUAUCACCAUCCAGUAUAACAUAAUGUAUUAACAUUUGCCACUAGGAUAUUAACAUCUAGUUCAUUGUAAUCUUUUUCUAUUUGGGAUUAAAAACACAGAAUAUUGCUUAUGCCACCAAGCUCAAUUUAAAGAGCAUGCUGUAUAUGAGCCAGCUGAUACUUUAAUAUUUCCUCUGCUUACUCUUGAAGGCAAUGUCUCAGAUUCUGUACUAAGCUGUCUGUCUGGAAAUACUUCUGCUGUGGACCUCAGUGCCUCAAAUACUGAUACACUGGAAUCAGUGUACCAGUCCUGGCUGGGUGGUCCUGUGUCUGCAGCAAGAAUGUGUGCAUGUGCCAGAGAGGCGGUACGGAAAAGGAAAGGAUGUCAAGAUCAUCAGCUAGUGUGGUUGGAGCAUACCAGCCUGUGCAGUCAGUGGGAUUUGUGUGAAUGACAAUCCACCUGCAAGAUACCUGGUCACCAAUGGAGGGGUUUACAAAGAGAGAACACAGAAAGAACAUAAAAGACGAUGUCAAGUCUCUAAGACGUGCAUCUUGAAGUGGAUUUUCAGGACCUGUAAGUGCCAUUCUGCCACCUGACUGAGUCGUUGACCCAAAAUAUUCACUGACUUCUCUGGAAAAUACUUAUCCUGGUACAUACAAAAUUCUACAAUUUCUGA